rnacentral:lncRNA from 1 species
GUUUUAUUGCUGGUUUCAAUUGUCUGGAUCGAGCCUUUCCUCCUCUUGAGGCUGGGCAGGGCUGCUCAAACAGCUCCCUGUGCUCUCACCCCCGUGCCUCAUCGUGCUGGGUUUGGGCAUUUCCCCUUUGGAAACGAAUCCUCUGCAGCCUCUCUGAGGGCUGUGCACAACCUGAAGUAAUUGAAUUUGCCUUGGGUUGAACUCUUCUGGCACUCUCUAAAAAUAAACAUUCGAUUUCUUCUCCUUCCCGUGGAGCUGCCUCUGCAGGGAGCAGAACCAAACAAACUGGUGAAAAAUUAAAGAGGGAAACCCAGCAGAAGGGAUACGAGAUGGCAACAGCACAGCCCCGAGACUGUCAGGAGCCUAAACCCACAGCAGCCAGUGGCAAAUAAAUCCAGGGGAUGGCCUUGGGCACCUUUUGCGACAGUCGCGCUUUACAGCGCCUUUUACGACAGUCGAGCUUUACGGCGCCUUUUGCGACAGUCGCGCUUUACGGCACUUUUUACGACAGUAGCGCUUUACGGCACCUUUUACGACAGUUUUACGACAGUCGCGCUUUACGGCACCUUUUACGACAGUCACGCUUUACGGCAGCUUUUACGACAGUUUUACGACAGUCGCGCUUUACGGCCGUUUUUACGACAGUUUUACGACAGUCGCGCUUUACAGCCGCCUUUACGACAGUCGCGCUUUACGGCCGUCUUUUCGGCAGUCGCGCUUUACGGCCGGCUUUACGACAGUCGCACUUUACGGCACCUUUUACGACAGUCGCGCUUUACGGCACCUUUGGAACGUGACAAUCCAGGGGACAUCAAACAUGACACAUGCUUGUGGUGAGGGCCUCGAGGGAAAAAGGCAAAAGGUGUGUGUGCCCCAAAGACACACUAGGUAACACAGCACACUGGACAACACAACAUAGACCAGAACUGUUCUGCACUGCCUGCCUGAAAGCUGCCAUCAAAAGUAGAGCCUCUCCCUUUAGCUGUCCUAAGAGGCCCUUGGGGAAGAUUGCUUUUCCCUCUGCUAAUUUUUAAAUCUGUCCCAAGAACUCCCCACCUGCUACUCUCCCAUCAUCCCAUCUCCAAGCCAUGGCCCUCAACUUAUCUUUUGGAUGAUUGGUGAUGUGGAUCCACGUUGCACCUGAAAUGAGUCUGCCUUGGAGGGCCCCGUGAUGGCCUGUUAGCUUCUUGGUUAGCUACAAUAAAGAAAACCAAAACCAUGCUGGCUGUUGUCCC